rnacentral:rRNA from 1 species
CGAACGCUGGCGGCGUGCUUAACACAUGCAAGUCGAACGGUGAAGCGCCUUCCUUUUUGGUGGGUGUGGAUGAGUGGCGAACGGGUGAGUAACACGUGAGUAACCUGCCCCCUUCUUCUGGAUAACCGCAUGAAAGUGUGGCUAAUACGGGAUAUUCUGGGUCUGUCGCAUGAUGGGUCUGGGAAAGAUAUUGUUUCGGUGGGGGAUGGGCUCGCGGCCUAUCAGCUUGUUGGCGGGGUGAUGGCCUACCAAGGCGGUGACGGGUAGCCGGCCUGAGAGGGUGGACGGUCACACUGGGACUGAGACACGGCCCAGACUCCUACGGGAGGCAGCAGUGGGGAAUAUUGCACAAUGGGCGCAAGCCUGAUGCAGCGACGCCGCGUGAGGGAUGGAGGCCUUCGGGUUGUGAACCUCUUUCGCCAGUGAAGCAGGCCUGCCUCGUUUGUGGGUGGGUUGACGGUAGCUGGAUAAGAAGCGCCGGCUAACUACGUG